AUUGAACGCUGGCGGCAUGCCUUACACAUGCAAGUCGAACGGCAGCACGGGAGCAAUCCUGGUGGCGAGUGGCGAACGGGUGAGUAAUAUAUCGGAACGUGCCCAGUCGUGGGGGAUAACGCAGCGAAAGCUGUGCUGAUACCGCAUACGAUCUACGGAUGAAAGCGGGGGAUCGCAAGACCUCGCGCGAUUGGAGCGGCCGAUAUCAGAUUAGCUAGUUGGUGGGGUAAAGGCCCACCAAGGCGACGAUCUGUAGCUGGUCUGAGAGGACGACCAGCCACACUGGAACUGAGACACGGUCCAGACUCCUACGGGAGGCAGCAGUGGGGAAUUUUGGACAAUGGGCGCAAGCCUGAGCCAGCAAUGCCGCGUGCAGGAUGAAGGCCUUCGGGUUGUAAACUGCUUUUGUACGGAACGAAACGGUCCUUUCUAAUACAAGGGGCUAAUGACGGUACCGUAAGAAUAAGCACCGGCUAACUACGUGCCAGCCGCCGCGGUAA
rnacentral:rRNA from 1 species